rnacentral:rRNA from 1 species
UAAUACGUAGGGGGCAAGCGUUGUCCGGAAUCAUUGGGCGUAAAGCGCGUGUAGGCGGCUCGAUAAGUCUGCUGUGAAAGUCCAGGGCUCAACCCUGGAAUGCCGGUGGAUACUGUCGAGCUCGAGUCCGGAAGAGGCGAGUGGAAUUCCUGGUGUAGCGGUGAAAUGCGCAGAUAUCAGGAGGAACACCAACGGCGAAGGCAGCUCGCUGGGACGGUACUGACGCUGAGACGCGAAAGCGUGGGGAGCAAACAGGAUUAGAUACCCUGGUAGUCCACGCCGUAAACGAUGGGCACUAGGUGUGGGGGUGUCGACUCCCUCCGUGCCGAAGCUAACGCAUUAAGUGCCCCGCCUGGGGAGUACGGCCGCAAGGCUAAAACUCAAAGGAAUUGACGGGGGCCUGCACAAGCAGCGGAGCAUGUGGUUUAAUUCGAAGCAACGCGAAGAACCUUACCUGGGCUUGACAUGUUUCUGACCGCCGUGGAAACACGGCUUCCCUUCGGGGGCAGAUUC